rnacentral:rRNA from 1 species
UACUUUGGUGGCGACCGGCGCACGGGUGCGUAACGCGUAUGCAACCUACCUUUAACAGGGGCAUAACACUGAGAAAUUGGUACUAAUUCCCCAUAACAUUCGAGAAGGCAUCUUCUUGGGUUAAAAACUCCGGUGGUUAAAGAUGGGCAUGCGUUGUAUUAGCUAGUUGGUGAGGUAACGGCUCACCAAGGCAACGAUACAUAGGGGGACUGAGAGGUUAACCCCCCCACAUUGGUACUGAGACACGGACCAAACUCCUACGGAAGGCAGCAG